UUUCACUCGGGCACGACAUGGCCUAAAAACUAACUCAAAGCCCCUCUUUUUACUUGUCUCUUGCUGCAUUAAGUGGUUAUACGUUCUUAAAUGUUUUUCGGUCAUUAUUAUAUGGCAGUUUACAUGCUAUAUUCUUUUUAGUGUUUUCUUAUGUAUUUAAAUGAUAGCAAGUGAAAUUGGUCAACUUGAGCAUACAACUUUCUCUUCUUAAAAAAUUGUCAAUUAUUAAGUGGCGGUGAAACUCUUCAGUUUAUGUCAACAGCGACCUUUGUGAAAAAUAGUUUUGGGAGAUCUAUUAGUUACGAAAAAAAUAUUCCCAAGAUGAAGUUUU